rnacentral:rRNA from 1 species
UACAGAGGGUGCGAGCGUUGUCCGGAAUCACUGGGCGUAAAGGGCGCGUAGGUGGCGACCCAAGUCGAUGGUGAAAGCUCGCCGCUCAACGGCGAGUCGGCCACCGAUACUGGGUUGCUGGAGCACUGUAGAGGCAGAUGGAAUUCCGGGUGUAGCGGUGGAAUGCGUAGAGAUCCGGAAGAACACCGGUGGCGAAGGCGGUCUGCUGGGGCAGUUGCUGACACUGAGGCGCGACAGCGUGGGGAGCAAACAGG